UCCCUGGUGGUCCAGUGGUUAAGAAUCCUCCUUGCAAUGCAGGGGACCCAGGUUCGAUCCCUGGUCAGGGAA
rnacentral:tRNA from 1 species